rnacentral:ribozyme from 1 species
CACAUUUGUGAUUAUCUUUUUUCCUGAUUUUUUUUCCCUUCUUUUUUCUUGCGCUUGUGUUGUCUCUUCAAAUAAAAAAAAUGGGUGUGUGCAGGUAUGUGAUGGUGU